AUGCUCCACAUUCAUAAUAACGGACAUAAAAUGUCUUGGGCGGUUCAUCAUCUUCUUCAACUUGGUCGCUGCAAGGUACCCGAGUAUUCGUGCACGGUUGGCAACUACUUUGAAAAAGUGUGGGACCAGCUUGACACACCUUACUGUAUGUGUUAUGCAACAGCACAAAUGGUGACCAUUCUUUAUCGUAUGCAUAGACCAGAAGAGUGCAAAAGUCUGAUUUUAUCACCUUAACCUUUGCUUAAUCUUGGUUGUCAAUAUGUAGAUAGACUUAGAGUCUUUCUUACUGAAAGCGAGUAUGGACUAUAUGACAUUGAAGCUCAACAAUUCCAUUAUCUCCGCGUGAAAAAAACUCGAAUCAUUAGCCAAGUCCGACAAACCAUACCUGAUCAAAGACUUGACGAUAUAUCGUACAAAGGAAACAAUCCUGAAAAUCCUUAUAAGUAAUUUUUGUGAAGGUGGGCCACAACACCCGAUGCUAGGGGCAUGCAACAUGCAUAGACUAACAACUGCUAAGGCGGCGGAUACAACUUCGGAGAAACCGUUUAUUUGAAAAGAGCCUCGACUGAAAAAGAUUAUCUCGUUGAUCAUUCCGUGUUCAUCACGGGAAUCUAUGUUGCAUCUAUGAAUCCUACACGCGUGAAUGUACAGUUGAGAAACUCCUGGGGCGAUUGGGGAUUUAAAGGAACUGCAUGGGUCGGGAGUGACUUUUUCGAAGAGGCUUAUGUACCAAGUAUUUAAAGAGGUUGAUUUCUUUUAACUGAUGUUUAUUUUGUUUAAAGUAUACUUAGUUCUCGAUUUUAGUUGUUGUUUACAGACAUUAUGUAAUGCAUUAGCAAAGUUGGUGCUUUCUUUGUAAUGGGUUUGUUUAUUUUGUU